GACGAACGCUGGCGGCGUGCUUAACACAUGCAAGUCGAACGCUGAAGACCUGGCUUUUGUUGGGUUGGAUGAGUGGCGAACGGGUGAGUAACACGUGAGUAACCUGCCCUCUUCUUUGGGAUAACGCCCGGAAACGGGUGCUAAUACUGGAUAUUCACUGAUCUUCGCAUGGGGGUUGGUGGAAAGGUUUGUUCUGGUGGGGGAUGGGCUCGCGGCCUAUCAGCUUGUUGGUGGGGUGAUGGCCUACCAAGGCUUUGACGGGUAGCCGGCCUGAGGGGGUGACCGGUCACAUUGGGACUGAGAUACGGCCCAGACUCCUACGGGAGGCAGCAGUGGGGAAUAUUGCACAAUGGGCGAAAGCCUGAUGCAGCGACGCCGCGUGAGGGAUGGAGGCCUUCGGGUUGUAAACCUCUUUCGCUCAUGGUCAAGCCGCAACUGUGGGUUGUGGUGAGGGUAGUGGGUAAAGAAGCGCCGGCUAACUACGUG
rnacentral:rRNA from 1 species